rnacentral:rRNA from 1 species
AGCGAACGCUGGCGACAGGCCUAACACAUGCAAGUCGAGCGCCGUAGCAAUACGGAGCGGCAGACGGGAGAGUAACACGUGGGAACGUGCCCUUCAGUUCGGAACAACCCAGGGAAACUUGGGCUAAUACCGGAUACGCCCUUACGGGGAAAGAUUUAUCGCUGAAGGAUCGGCCCGCGUCUGAUUAGCUUUUUGGUGAGGUAACGGCUCACCAGGGCUACGAUCAGUAGCUGGUGUGAGAGGAUGAUCAGCCUCACUGGCACUGAGAAACGGCCCAGACUCCUACGGGAGGCAGCAGUGGGGAAUAUUGGACAAUGGGCGCAAGCCUGAUCCAGCCAUGCCGCGUGAGUGAUGAAGGCCUUAGGGUUGUAAAGCUCUUUCGGCGGGGAAGAUAAUGACGGUACCCGCAGAAGAAGCCCCGGCUAACUUCGUGCCAGCAGCCGCCGUAACAC